UUUGGCCUCGUGCGACCCGGUCGUACCAGAUUUUUUUCCAGCGGGGAGGCGGACCCCGGGGAGGCUCAACCGCGAACGUCGCUCCUCCCGACGCCACGGGCGGCGACGACUCCGUUCCGGCCAGCAGCCCCCUCGACUCCUCCCUCCUCUCCCCGUCGCCGGUAGCCUCCGGCGGGCAAAGCCCGCUCGAAGCCGGCAGCGGUGGGACCCUUUCUCUCCGCCUCGUGGGGGCCGCCACGGGGAUCUCGCAGCUGAAGAUGCCCGGCGCGGUAGGGUUUGCGGCCUUGCCUACGGUGGUGCUGCCGGCGGCGUGGGUGUCUACGGUGGGUGGAUAUGCGGCGGUGGCGGCAGCCGAUGCGGGGGCUCGAUGCUCCAGAUCGGGCCGGUGUUGUCAGUGGCAGUGGAGGCUUCAUAGUGGUUGGCUGCGUGUGUGCCCAUUCUGGCCACAUCUGGCCGGCUGGGCUCGGCUGCGGUGGCUUUGGCGAGCGGUGUGCGACUCCGGGGAUGGACGACGGCGGUGCGGCAGAGCUCGCGUUUGGUGGUUGGUUCGGGGCGGCCAUUGCAUCAGGGGAGGUGGUGAGGGCAUCGGUGGUCAUCAGAGAGGAGGCGUCGGCUUCAGGUUGCCCUGCCGUCGCUCUGUGUCGUUGUCGCCCUCGCCGCCGCCUGCCUGGCCAGUCUACUGCGUCGCACAGGACACCAUGUUCUGGCCGCUCUUCGUCCUAAGACACAACUGGUGCGUCUCCGGCUUGUGAGCUCGCCAUCUCUCUCUCCGUGGAUGGUUGCUGCCGCAGCGGCCUUGUGAGCUUCCAACAACGCCAAACUGAACAGCGUCAACAGACACAUCCUCCACUCCUCCGGAUUAGCCACUGGACGCACCACCAGAACCAUGGCCACAUUGAGAAGGACGAGUCCUGGUAUCCGCUUCCCCAGAAGCUGUAUAGGAGCCUGGACAGUGCCACCCGGAAGCUUCGAUUUGCGCUACCGUUCCCAAUGCUCGUGUACCCAUUCUACUUGUGGUCGAGCAGUCCAGGGAAGUCAGGAUCGCAGUUACACCCGUGCAGCGAUUUGUUCCAGCUGAAUGAGAAGACGGAUGUGAUGGCUUGCCAUGGCUGACCUCCUCGCUGGGCUCACCGUCGUGAUAAGGCCUUUUUAGAUACUCAAGCUAUACGCCGUCCCCUACUGGGCAUAUUUUUGCUAUGUGGCUGGACUUUUGUCACCUACCUGCACCACCGCGGCCAUAAUGACAAGCUUUCGUGGUAUCGCGGAAAGUAAAAUUAAUAGAGCUACUAUCUCUGGAAUUGCAAGUUAGAUUGCUUAAUCUGCAUAACAUUGUGUCAAAACUAAUGUGUUCAUUAUUAUUUCUUCCGCUUAGUGUCUAUUGUUCAGCAGUAUAGCUCAGCCCAAUAUCUAAAAGCCAUAAUAAUGUAUAGAGCAUACGUGUGUUGAUUAGGAUACGGUGUGACGUUUGUAUAAUUGUUUAUUGAAGAUAACUAUUUAAGUUGUCGGAGUUGACCACGGCCCAUAUCAAAUAAAACUUAGGAUUGAACAGUUUGAGUAAACAUUGUACCAUAUUUUAGCAUUAGUUUGCUUCUUUACUAGCUGAAAGUGUUUUUUUUUCUUGGCAAGCAUAAAAAGGUGAAGUUACCGUAUUUUAGCAUUCAAAUCAGACUUAAUUUCCUGAUGCCACUACACUGUAAGAAAUCAUGCAUGGUACUGGUAAUGUAGAUCAAUAAGGCUUGUGUCCACAAGUAGAGGCAUGUGCACAAUGUGAACAAGAACCAAAACUUGUUACAUAAAUAAUUAUAGGUGCAGUUUGCUUUAAACUCAUGAAGCUAGCAAACUAAAACAGGGAAAAUUAAUUCUAAAAAUAGCACUAGCUCUGUACUGAUUCCAGUUCAUAGUUUAGCUCACGGGAGUAAUAUAUAGAGUGUUGCAGGAUUUGCGACUAAAUAGAUGGUUUCAGUUUCACUUGCCAACCACAUCCCCUUGCGACCUUGGUGAAAUUGAUUGGUAAUAUUUUGUUGGCUAAAGAAUAGUAUAACAUCAUGUCCUGAUCUAAGUGUUGUUAAUUAGUGUUUGAGAAAUAGAUACUAUGAUUUCUUGUGUCGAUGUGUCAUAUUACCUUUUUUUUCUCUGGAUAUAAUUUUAACAGGAGAUUCAAUCUUUACAUGUGUCUCUUCAUUUUGCAAGGUUCUGGCCGAUCUGUCAUCUUUUACCUGAUGUUACGAUUUCAUUUUUUGGCGACACUUCUGGUUCAGCUCAAGACAAAGUUUGGGUUGCAAAAGCUUUUGUUUUGGUGCGUUGCUGCAUUGUCUUCAAAGCCUCUUAUCAUUAAAACAAUAUAGCAAUCACACUGACCUUUUGCCAUCCAGUAUGUAGGGACAGUUGUCCAAGAUAGUUUUUACCUAUAGUGAAUCACAAGUUUGGCUGCCAAGGUUUAGAUUCAUAAAGAUUUAUGUUUUUAUAGUUGGAUUGUCUUCCCCAAUUCCUCAAGAUGGCUGGAACUGUUACUUGGUAGUUCUAGAAAAUAGAAAUGUUACUUUUUAAAAGUUGAUGUGUUUAUGAAUUCGUGAGCCACAAAAGAAUCAUAAGAAAAAUAAUUUAGUUCAGAAUAAAAGUUCAUACAAUUCUCAGAGUGGCAAAACUCGGUGCGAGUGUGCAUGUUAGAACACAAUAACUUCGAAUAAAUGUUCAAUGUAUGGAUCUGUCAACAUUUAGACAUCUUGUUGUGUUUAGCAAGAUUACAUAAUUGAUGAUUAGGUGUGCUUCAACUGUAGUCUCUUAUUUCAUUCUAAAAUCUAAUUGUCUAACGUCUGAUUCCCCCUUGCUUUUGUAUGUUUAUGGUGACAUGCUUACCAAAUAAAUACUUAAAUUGGACUUGCUUCCUGCUACUAUAUAUGCAUAUAACCUGGAGAGAUUAAUGCUACAACAAUCACCUCAAUGCUUAUGUUAGCUGUACAUAAAAAAUGUAAACCCGUUUAUACAAAACAAAGGUAUGUUGCGGGGUGUUGUAUUUGCAUAGCUUUGCUCUUGCUAUGUCAGUCAUGCUAGAAAGCUUCUGUUGGAUCAUCGUAGUUGGUUUUUAAAACUAUGGUUGUAUCACUUGCUUUUGCUAUGUCAGCCAUGCUAGAAAGUGUUGUGUGGUGUAGGUGGUUUCUCACAGUUUUAGUGUUGUCAGAUUUGUUGACAAAGAGAUAAAUUACGAUGCGAAUUGACACUAUGUGAUGUGAUGAGUGAUGACGAUUUGGGUACUUUGGUUAAUUGAGCAUGUAAGUACCUCUUGUACCUUUAUUCUUUUCUUUGCAGGAACUACAUCUUUAUUCUUGUGUUGUAUGUUACUCCCUCCGUAAACAAAUAUAAGAGCGUUUAGAUCACUAAAGUAGUGAUUUAAACGCUCUUAUAUUUAUUUACAGAGGGAGUACUUAUUAGAUAGCUUCAGUUUCAGCUUAUCAUACACAUGUAUGAUCACUUAUAAUCGUAGGCCGUUACAUGCAUAUCGUCACACUGAUUGCACAAAUACCUGUACAUUCUGCUCUGAAUCUAUGAUAUAGCUAACACAUGUCGUGUAAGAUUUACUCCCUCCGUUCCUAAAUAUUUGUCUUUCUAGAGAUUUCAAAUGGAUUACCACAUACGGAUGUAUAUAGACAUAUUUUAGAGUAUAGAUUCACUCAUUUUGCUCCGUAUGAAGGCACUUGUUGAACUCUGUAGAAAGACAAAUAUUUAGAAACGGAGGGAGUAUUAGAUAUCGCAUAUUCAUGUUUCAGUUGAUUGUGAAUCGGAAGCUGGGUUGUGGUUUGGCAAACAAAAGGCAUUAGUUUAUGAAUAGUCUAGCUACUAAAGUGUUACAGAAUAGGUUGAUUAGCCAGACUCGAGUCAUUUUCCAAAACAAUAUUGGUUUGCCUCGCAGGAACUUCGAGGAAAAUAAAAGCUUCUGGUGUAUGAAAGCUCCUCCAAGUCUCAGCAUGGUCCAUGAUACUUAACCAUCCUCAAAACGUUAACACAACCUUACUUGACCGGGGGAGAGCAAGAUGGGAGAUGAAGGUCCACACUGGCAUCAUGCGACAAUCUUUCAAGAGAAUGGAAUUUGGAGGUUGUUGGCUUUCAUGUCACACAUGUUAUUGUUAAUCACUGUUGUAUAUUGCUGAGAAGGGGAUAAACAACUACAGAUUUAAUUUGCAUUUGAAAUGCCUUUUGUUUUCUGCAA